AAUGAACGUUGGCGGCGUGGAUUAGGCAUGCAAGUCGAGCGCUCAUCAGCAAUGGUGGGAGCGGCGAACGGCGUAGUAAUGUGUAGGAACGUACCCUCUGGUCGGGGAUAGCUACGGGAAACUGUAGGUAAUACCCGAUGAUCUCUGUGGAGCAAAGGUGUGAUUCCGCCGGGGGAGCGGCUUACAUGAUAUUAGCUAGUUGGUGGGGUAAUGGCCUACCAAGGCUUAGAUGUCUAGGGGGUGUGAGAGCAUGGCCCCCACGACCGGAACUGAGAUACUGUCCGGACACCUACGGGUGGCUGCAGUCGAGAAUCUUCCGCAAUGGACGAAAGUCUGACGGAGCGACGCCGCGUGCGGGAUGAAGGCCCUUGGGUUGUAAACCGCUGUCAGAGGGGAUGAAAUCUCCGAGGGUUAUCCCUCGGAGUUGACAGAGCCUCAGAGGAAGCACGGGGCUAAGUAUGUG
rnacentral:rRNA from 1 species